rnacentral:lncRNA from 1 species
UACUACUUGAAAAAUUGAUUACUUCUAAACGACUUUCCGUGUUGCCUUAUCCUACAGAUGCUCUCAAUGUGACAUCCGCAGGCUUCCAUGGGCCAACUCACGACAAUGCCAGGAAGACGUCAAGGAAGAAAUGAAAUGUGAGCAGUGACAGGAACAUUUCGCUCAAGAGUUUCAGGGAUAUUCUCGGCUGAAAACUGGUGUAACUGAUGACUUAGAGGAGCAGCAGCAGCCCAAAGCUGCAGGAGGAGAGGAGAAGGGAAGAGGAAGUGUCUGGGACUGUGAGCAGCAGGAGGAGAGUUACAAAUUCAGCAGAACAUCAGUCUGGGAGGCAGAAAGGAAGUGUUCCUGACAGUGGCUUCACAGAGUAGCCGGCACGUGCUGAACCACAGCCUCUGCCGAGGCAGAUGGAGCACAGGUGAGAAAUAGAA